AACGUAGGAGACAAACGUUAUCCGGAGUUACUGGGCGUAAAGGGCGUGUGGGUGGUUUCGUAAGUCUGGCGUGAAAUAUCUCGGCUUAACCGAGGCAGGUCGUCGGAUACUGCGGGACUAGAGGACGGUAGAGGCGUGUGGAAUUCCGGGUGUAGUGGUGAAAUGCGUAGAGAUCCGGAGGAACACCAGUGGCGAAGGCGACACGCUGGGCCGUACCUGACACUGAUGCGCGACAGCAUGGGGAGCAAACAGG
rnacentral:rRNA from 1 species